rnacentral:rRNA from 1 species
CCUACGGGUGGCAGCAGUGAGGAAUAUUGGUCAAUGGACGAGAGCCUGAACCAGCCAAGCAGCGUGAAGGAUGACUGUCCUAUGGGUUGUAAACUUCUUUUAUAUGGGAAUAAAACAGGGUACGCAUACCCUCUUGUAUGUACCAUAUGAAUAAGGAUCGGCUAACUCCGUGCCAGCAGCCGCGGUAAUACGGAGGAUCCGAGCGUUAUCCGGAUUUAUUGGGUUUAAAGGGAGCGUAGGUGGUGUGUUAAGUCAGUGGUGAAAGUGUGCGGCUCAACCGUAAAAUUGCAGUUGAAACUGGCAGUCUUGAGUGCAGGAGAGGUGAGCGGAAUUCGUGGUGUAGCGGUGAAAUGCUUAGAUAUCACGAAGAACUCCGAUUGCGAAGGCAGCUUACUGGACUGCAACUGACGCUGAGGCUCGAAAGUGUGGGUAUCAAACAGGAUUAGAUACCCCUGUAGUC